UACGAAGGGGGCUAGCGUUGCUCGGAAUCACUGGGCGUAAAGGGUGCGUAGGCGGGUCUUUUAAGUCAGGGGUGAAAUCCUGGAGCUCAACUCCAGAACUGCCUUCGAUACUGGCGACCUUCGAGUCCGGGAGAGGUGAGUGGAACUCCGAGUGUAGAGGUGAAAUUCGUAGAUAUUCGGAAGAACACCAGUGGCGAAGGCGGCUCACUGGCCCGGUACUGACGCUGAGGUGCGAAAGCGUGGGGAGCAAACAGGG
rnacentral:rRNA from 1 species